CCUACGGGCGGCAGCAGUGAGGAAUAUUGGUCAAUGGGCUUACGCCUGAACCAGCCAAGUCGCGUGAGGGAAGACUGCCCUAUGGGUUGUAAACCUCUUUUGUCAGGGAGCAAUUGGCGCUACGUGUAGCGUUAUCGAGAGUACCUGAAGAAAAAGCAUCGGCUAACUCCGUGCCAGCAGCCGCGGUAAUACGGAGGAUGCGAGCGUUAUCCGGAUUUAUUGGGUUUAAAGGGUGCGUAGGCGGAAUGCCAAGUCAGCGGUAAAAUCGCGGGGCUCAACCUCGCUCCGCCGUUGAUACUGGCGGUCUUGAGUGGGCGAGAAGUAUGCGGAAUGCGUGGUGUAGCGGUGAAAUGCAUAGAUAUCACGCAGAACUCCGAUUGCGAAGGCAGCAUACCGGCGCCCAACUGACGCUGAGGCACGAAAGCGUGGGUAUCGAACAGGAUUAGAUACCCUUGUAGUC
rnacentral:rRNA from 1 species